UGGGGGAUAUUGCACAAUGGGCGAAAGCCUGAUGCAGCGACGCCGCGUGAGGGAAGACGGUUUUCGGAUUGUAAACCUCUGUCGAGGGGGACGAAGUGCGUGACGGUACCCCUUGAGGAAGCCACGGCUAACUACGUGCCAGCAGCCGCGGUAAUACGUAGGUGGCAAGUGUUGUCCGGAAUUACUGGGUGUAAAGGGAGCGUAGGCGGGGAUGCAAGUUGAAUGUAUAAACGGCCGGCUCAACCGGCCGAAGCGUUCAAAACUGCAUUUCUUGAGUGGAGUAGAGGCAGGCGGAAUUCCUAGUGUAGCGGUGAAAUGCGUAGAUAUUAGGAGGAACACCAGUGGCGAAGGCGGCCUGCUGGACUCUAACUGACGCUGAGGCUCGAAAGCGUGGGUAGCAAACAGGAUUAGAUACCC
rnacentral:rRNA from 1 species